UAGCAAUACGAUGGAAAGUCUAGUGGCGAACGGGUGCUUAACACGUGGGCAACCUGUCAGGAAGUGGGGGAUAGCUCGCCGAAAGGCGAAUUAAUACCGCAUGUGAUUAGAGAGGACAUCCUUUCGAAAUUAAAGUCGGGGCAACCUGACGCUUUUUGUGGGGCCCGCGGCCUAUCAGCUAGUUGGUGGGGUAACGGCUCACCAAGGCGUUGACGGGUAGCUGGUCUGAGAGGACGACCAGCCACACUGGGACUGAGACACGGCCCAGACACCUACGGGUGGCAGCAGUCGAGAAUUUUUGACAAUGGGGGAAACCCUGAUCGAGCGACGCCGCGUGGAGGAUGAAGGUCUUCGGAUUGUAAACUCCUGUCAUUGGGGAACAAUGCGCAAAUAUUAACUGUAUUUGUGUUGAUAGUACCCGAAGAGGAAGAGACGGCUAACUCUGUGCCAGCAGCCGCGGUAAUACAGAGGUCUCAAGCGUUGUUCGGAUUCAUUGGGCGUAAAGGGUGCGUAGGCGGCGCGGUAAGUCGGGUGUGAAAUCUCGGAGCUUAACUCCGAAACUGCAUUCGAUACUGCCGUGCUUGAGGACUGGAGAGGAGACUGGAAUUCUCGGUGUAGCA
rnacentral:rRNA from 1 species